UCCGGUUUGACACCGGCAGUCUCCCUAGAGUCCCCGGCAUAACCCGCUGGCAACUGGAAACAAGGGUUUCGCUCGUUAAGCGACUUAACGCGACAUCUCACGACACGAGCUGACGACAGCCAUGCAGCACCUGUGCAAAGGCUCCCUUGCGGGCACCCCUCCCUUUCAGGAGAGUUCCUAAGCAUGUCAAGACUGGGAUAAGGUUCUUCGCGUAGCCUCGAAUUAAGCCACAUCCUCCACCGCUUGUGUGAGCCCCCGUCAAUUCCUUUGAGUUUCAGUCUUGCGACCGUACUCCCCAGGCGGAGUGCUUAAUGUGUUGACUUCGGCACAGCAGGGGUCGAUACCCGCUACACCAAGCACUCAUCGUUUACGGCGUGGACUAC
rnacentral:misc_RNA from 1 species